CAAAGAGAAGCAAGACCGUGAGGUGGAGCAAAACUCAAAAACUUGUCUCAGUUCGGAUUGUAGGCUGCAACUCGCCUACACGAAGCUGGAAUCGCUAGUAAUCGCGGAUCAGCACGCCGCGGUGAAUACGUUCCCGGGCCUUGUACACACCGCCCGUCACACCAUGAGAGUCUGUAACACCCAAAGCCGGUGGGAUAACCUUUAUAGGAGUCAGCCGUCUAAGGUAGGACAGAUGAUUAGGGUGAAGUCGUAACAAGGUACC
rnacentral:rRNA from 1 species